GCAGGGCAGGUGUGGGAGGCAGCACCUUAGGACCCUAGCCUGCCUUCUAGAUGUUCACCCCUCACUGCCACCGCCUUCUCCCACCAGGCGGCAGACAGAUAGCAGCGGGAAAGAGUGGUGGGUGACCAACAAUACCUACUGGAGGCUGCGGGCCGAGCCAGGCUACGGGAACAUGGAUGGGGCCGUGCUCUGGUAGCCUGGCCCCGGGGGCAGGAGGCUCUGCUUCCUCACUCCUCCUGCCUCCACCCCCUACCACGGACACAUGGCUUCCAGCUCCUUCGUCCCUGAUCCUCAAGCGGUUCCCUCCCGUCUCAGCUCAGCGGAUCCCCCAGAGUGGAGGAGGCCUCUCCAUGAGGAGGGGAGCAGCCCAAGGCACCUGGCCUCCGACCCACCGGCAGCGAGUGCACAGGUGUGAGUGUAAGUUCAUGUAGGAGAGUGUAUGCGUGUGCGCCUGUGCCCUGCUUGCAGGCAAGCAGGGCUCCCUCAUGUAGCCCGGCCUUCCCCCUGCUGGGGGUCCACCACAUCGCUGCUCUUUCUCACAGUCUGCCUCUGAUGAGGGCGAAUUGCUAUGACAUUCCAAGCUCCAAUAAAGACUGUCCCAG
rnacentral:lncRNA from 1 species